UGAUUCUGAGUACCUGCUUGGGAGUUUACUGGCUAGCUGUUGUGAUUACUGUCGGCUAAUUUGCUUACCGAACUUCUCUCAUUU